UACGGGGGGGGCAAGCGUUGUUCGGAAUUACUGGGCGUAAAGGGCUCGUAGGUGGCCAACUAAGUCGGACGUGAAAUCCCUCAGCUUAACUGGGGAACUGCGUCCGAUACUGGAUGGCUCGAGUUUGGGAGAGGGAUGCGGAAUUCCAGGUGUAGCGGUGAAAUGCGUAGAUAUCUGGAGGAACACCGGUGGCGAAGGCGGCAUCCUGGACCAACACUGACGCUGAGGAGCGAAAGCGUGGGGAGCGAACAGG
rnacentral:rRNA from 1 species